AUGGAGGUUGUGGAUUUGGUGUCAUCCGACUCCGAGGACGAGGCGUGCGCGCACUCGCCUGAUCGGAAGCGUCCUGCCUGGGAGCCCGCGGAUCCAUCCCGCGGCCCCGGGAGUCUUCCCGAGCAGACAAGCAGAAUGGCCUGGCCGCCGCAGCAGCCAAGUCAGGCGGUGAAGAAGGACAAGGAGAAGGCAGGCGAGGGGGAGAGCGCGUGGGCAGCAGGACCCCCUUCGCUCAGGGGAGGAUCGCAUGGUUCUGGUGCUGGUAUCUUGGGAGCUAGGUCUGUGGGGUGGGAUUCAUGGAGUGCAGCGGCACACAAAUCUAGAGAUGGAAGAAGUGAAACGGCCGAGUGUUGUUGGGGACCUUGGGGUGAUGAGAUUUGCAGAUCAGUCUCUGUGCCCAAGGAAGAUGGUGCUGCGAUGCCUGGACAGAGCUCUAUGGCCAUUCCUGAGCUACUCAUGGAAGACAGUAGCGCAUGGCUGUCGAGGAUCAAGGGGCUCCAUUUCCCACUUCCUGAUGAGAGCCAGUUGAAGGCCAGGCAAAUUCAGUCAGAUGAGAUGCUUGCUCUUAAGCUUCAAGAGCAGUUCAACCAGGAACAGCCAGGCUCGCAAUCUUCCCAGCAGGUUGAUACGACUCUAGCUUGGACACUGCAAGAGGAAGAUGCUGCGCGUGCAAGAAUUGCUGCAAGAGAGGGCCAAUCUAGUUCUAGCCAGAGGGACCGCUCAAUGGCACACUUGUAUUCAUACGGCUGGCGCUCGCAAGUUCAAGGUUCUACUUCAUGGCCACCUAGUCACACAUCAGCUCCAAUAACAAGCAGACGGUGGUUGCCAAGAAACAGCGGCCCAGGAUCAGAGCAACAAAAUAUGAUUAUCUCUCAACUGACCAAAGGGUGUUUUGGACAAGAAAACAUGGAUUUAGAAAUGAGAAUGGCUGUGCUGGACUCACUCCAAGAAGCACUUGAAAGCUGUCCAGACACCUAUCCUACAGAUUCAGAUGAUGAUGACUAUGAGAACCUGAUAGCGCUUGAUGACAACAACCAUCACAGAGGAGCUUCUGACAGUGAAAUUGACAGCUUGCCACUAUCUGUUGCUGAGGGAGAAAGCCGCCGGGACGAGCCCUGCCCUAUAUGCCUGGACUGCCCUGCUGAUGGUGCUUCCCUCCGGCAUCUGCCCUGUGCACACAAAUUCCAUAAAGAGUGCAUCAACAGGUGGCUUCGGAUGAGGACCUCGUGCCCGGUGUGCAAAUCUGCUGUAUUUUGA
rnacentral:rRNA from 1 species